UCUGUAGCGCAAUGGAUAGCGUGCGUUGGACUUCUAAUCCAAAGGUCAUGGUUUCGAAUUUUACCCACUUUAAAAG